rnacentral:hammerhead_ribozyme from 1 species
GUACUGCAGAAGAGUCCCAAACUAGGAUGAAACAGCUGUCCAGUAC